GGCCUCUCUCUUCAUCAUGCUGCCCACCUCCUCAUUCGCACUGUGCGCAGUUACCUAUGAAAACAACACUGGAAGAGUUUGCAAAACGGAUGUCGGAGGCUGUCGGGGGACACAGCUGUUCCUGAUGCCAGAUGCUGCCUGCAGCAUGAACUUAGCUCCACUCCACCCUUACCCCGCAGAUCUCUGCGACAGCCAGACCCUCGGAAACAACAGGACAAUCACAUUGUUCCCAGAGGCUCCCUGCGCAUGUCCUGAGGUUAUCAGAUGCUUGUUUUAUGGACGUUCCCACUCUGUUUAUGCAUUCUUUCCUUUAUCUUCUAUGGGUCGCAAGGGCCCUGUUUCUUCUCAUACAAACUCCCACUUUUCCUGCCUUCUUCAGCACACUGAGUCAGAGCUAUCCGAACCUGUAUUUCCUGAAUCGCAACUCUUAAGACCCAAUGUGAAGCUCUCUUCAUUUUCACAGAUCUGAGCUUGGAUGAAGACCUUGUUCUCUGCUUCUUAGAGGAAGAUGCCUGCUUCCCUAGACUGGGUGUCAUGAGAAGCGACCUGCCUCCUCGUCUGUUCAGUGUUAACUUACAGGGCUUCCAAAUGAAAUUUUUUUGAGAAAGCAGUUCUAAAGAACAGAAAACACAGAAUGAAAAUUACCGAGCGUCAGCUGUCUGCGCAUGACACUUGGAGCGGAAGAACAGAGGAUUAAGCACUCUAAAUGGCCUACUAACUCGGGAGCCUAAGCAACAGCAUUCUUCUCAGA